rnacentral:lncRNA from 1 species
UCCCCAUCAAGACUAUAUUACCUCAGGAUAACGCAAAAUAAUAUACACGAAGAGACAACCAUCUAGGGAAGAUAAUUCAACAACUUUAGAAUAUAGACCCCAUCUAGUCUCAUCUUAUUCUUAGAAAUUAAAUAUCUAAAAUAUUCUGAGUCAUUUAACCAUUCAUAAUAUCCAAGUUUUAUAACCCGAAACAUAAUCAAACUCAGUUGGUAAAAGAGUAGGCAUACAUGCAACUUUAUUUUUCUUUUUUUUAAGUACCUUAUUAGUUGUCUGAAAUGUUAGUCAACCUUUUUAUGUGAGUGCACACAUUGGUGAUGUCGGCCCCCAGUUAUUUAGUUGGU